rnacentral:rRNA from 1 species
GACGAACGCUGGCGGCGUGCUUAACACAUGCAAGUCGAACGGAAAGGCCCUGCUUUUGUGGGGUGCCCGAGUGGCGAACGGGUGAGUAACACGUGAGUAACCUGCCCUUGACUUUGGGAUAACUUCAGGAAACUGGGGCUAAUACCGGAUAGGAGCUCCUGCUGCAUGGUGGGGGUUGGAAAGUUUCGGCGGUUGGGGAUGGACUCGCGGGUUACCAGCUUGUUGGUGGGGUAGGGGAUUACCAAGGAUGUGACCGGUAGGCGGCCUGGGAGGGUGACCGGCGACAUUGGGCCUGAGGUAGGGCGCAGAGUGGAACGGUAGGCAGCAGUGGGAAGUAUUGUACAAUGGGCGGAAGCGUGAGGCAGCGGCGCUGGGUGCGUGAUGACGGCCUUCGGGGUGUAAACCGCUUUCGCCUGUGACGAAGCGUGAGUGACGGUAAUGGGUGAAUAAGCACCGGCUAACUACGUG